GCUCAGUCCCUACGGCCGUCCACCCCUCCACACACUUUCCAUGCCAAACACCAGCCCUAGCUUAUUUUAUCUCUGCUUCACCCAGACCAGCUCUAAAACAAUGUCCCUCUGCCUCCUCUUCCCUUGCCCGAGCCGCGCAUGGAGCUUAAAAUGCUCCGUACACGUACAUACCCGUGCUGCUGGCUCUGAAGGACAUGGGUGGAGACCGAGGCGGGAAGAGGGAGGCACAGGGCGGGGAGAAGCCGCCUGUAGCUUCUCCCAGGCCUCGUUCAGGGCCACCCCCCCCAGGGACCUCUGCUAUCUGCUACAUGGAAGCUCGCUCAACUUGCACGUUUGUUUGCGUGGGGCUGCAUACCACAGAUGUGAGUGAAGAGGGGACGAUUAUGUAGCAGUGUGACUGCAGGGCAGGCACUAGACUAAUACUAGUGGACUGGGAGAAGUCACUCUCCAGCGUUUCUUCUUUGCGGAUACGGUGAAGACCCUGUCUGAAAUAAGGUCUUAUCAUCUACCAACAGACAUGGUAAGUCAAGGUGAGGAAAUGGAGACCCAGAUUAUCUUCAAAGUGGUAAAACUAACGGAAGCUAAAACCAGAAUUUGAACUUAACGAUUUAGCUCCGGAUUCCACACCUUGAGAAUGUUUGCUUCUAUAUUAUCUUUCUUUUCUCAUCUUCCCCUUUUCCCUUUCUUCCUUUUCCUCUCCCCUUUCUCUAGUGUCCCUUCCUGUCCUCUUCAUGGCAACCAGAAAGCAGAGAAAAAAGGGAGGAACCAGGAAGGAAGAGAGACCCUGCCAGGUGAAGACCCCGUUGACCUGCCACUUCUGACCACAAGCCACCUCUGAACAGCAAGCCAGCUAUCAUGCCCCAUGGUCCGGUCAUCUUCCAAGCCCACCUUUAAGGGCAUGAGAGUUGGGGUGGACAGCCAGCUGUAAACAGUAACACUCAGCAUCCCCUUAUAUUCAUGCCUCUUAAGCCUGGAGUUCACAAGACCUGGAUACCACCCACCAUGACAUGGAUUUCUGUCUUUGUCUGCUGUCUUCCUAAAUAUCUUGUGUAUUAACACACCUGAAUGACCUCACCUUAGUGGCUUUCCUUAUGAAACUUAUUUUAACUAGAACUGGAAUGUCCACUCCAUUAUUUUCAUCAUCUAAAUCCAAUUCUUUGAAGACAAUAAGGCAAAACAUUUAUAAUAGUUGAGUAUAAAGGUUUAUGUAUAUAGGUCUCACUGUGACUUAUGAUUUGCUGUAUUGUUCAAAUAUUAACAAUAAAAGUUAGGUAAUAAAUGUUUACAAGUAAUCCAAUUUGUCCUUCAGGGAUAAAAUGACUUCCUAUUCUGGAAAUCUUCUUUCUUCUUCCUUUUUUUUUCCACAUGGUACCUGGGAUGUAGUUCAUGUCUGAUCUCCUAAAACUGGGAGUACAGUGUAACUACUUGGUGUGUGAACUAAUUUCCAUUUAUCAGAUUGAAGCUCCAAUUGGUUCAGGGCCUGCCUCACUCACCUAUGUGUACAAUACAAACAUUGCCAACGGGCUCUCAGGUGAGAUACCCAAAUAACUUGCACAUGUAACUGAAUUAUGGUGACAUAUGCGGUCAGCACGGGUUGUCUGUGUGUGGAAAUGGCCCUGUAAAGAAUGAGUGAAGAUAAAUAAUGACAUUAAUAAGCAGCAGCAAAGCAAAAAUAAAACACCCUAAGGAAAUAAUUUUCAACAGUAAAAGGAGUGAGAUAUUUAGAAUGUGAAAUGAAAUUUCCGAGGAAUUAUUGAUAAUUUUCUAGGGAUUUGAAAAAAUGUUGGCAGUUAGCAUCGUUUCUUAGCACUGUGGUUUUAAUACACGGGGUGCAUCUCUUGAGACUUGAAUGUGAGUUUUCAGCUAAGUGAAACCAACCCUUUCAUUUAUCACCAAAGUCCAUGGCCAAGCAGAACACGUGUUUAAAAAUGUGCAUCUCCUAGGAAUCUGGGGCACAGGAGGAGAGUUUAAGUCAUAACAUUUGAUAAAUGGAGAAAAAUAAAAAGUGUUUAUUGAAGAUGUGGAAAUUUCCUGAGAAACGGGGAAUUUCGAUGAAUUACCAAGUGUAUAAGAAUAUGUUUAGUCCACAAAUAAAAGUUAUGCUGGAGUGAAGGGUGACAAAAUAUUGAACUAGAACUUCCAUAGCAGUUUUUUGGUAUUAUUGGAAGGUAUUUCUAGAUUUUCUAAAAGUCUAAUUUCAAAAUAAGUAUAAACUUAAACUUAGGCAUCCUGAGUGAAUAAUUUAGAUUCCUUCAAUGAGCCCCACGUUAGCCAUGCCAAGCCAGUGUGUCCUGAUGAAUUCACUGAAGGAUUUAGGGACCAGAGUUAUUAAGAGUAGCUAAAGCGGACACUACUGCAUUAGCUGGGACUGCAUUAGUCACUAGCCCUCUUACGACACGUGCCCUGGUAGUUGGCCAGGCAAAGCUAAGCAGGAGAUUAUUCACAGAAUUCAUUUUGGUGCAGCACACUGCGUAAUACUGACAUAGUAGCCUCGGUCUCCAGUGAUAGCCUCCAUGUCCACAGUGGCUCAGAGUGAAAGUCUUACUCAUUCACUGUUGCUCAGAAACAUAUCAGGAAAAGCUCUCCAAGGCCACCAGGAAGGAGGCCACUGCUGAAAGAGCAGGAAGUGGGAGGAAGCCUGCCUAGAUUCCCAGAGAGGGACAGGAAGUGUCAGGGUGACUUUUCCCCUUGACUUGCAUUCCAGUAAUCACUUAUUUUGCUGAUUGUUCAUUGCAGAGACAGCAAGGUCUUCGCCUCUAGGCAGGUAGGUAUAUCUAUAACAUCUGUGAGGAAAAUCAAUACUCAGGAGGUUUUCUCAAACAUUUCUCUCUGAUUUGUGGACUUUUACUGACAAAUCACUGCUUUCUGCCUAGUGUUGCUUUUCUGAAGCCCACGCGGGUGCACCCGGGAAAAAGCCAACCUGCUUUCUGUGCAGCGUCCUGUGGCGGAAUCUCUCCCUCCCUCUGUGGUCACCGACCACCCUGGGGCCCAGGCUUGAGCUCCAGCACCGAGACCAGAAUUGCCCCGGUGUCCCAUCUCCUCUCCCUCAGUUUGACGGAAGCUUGGGGAAGCCUGUCCUAGUCCUCUACAGGGACUGAAGGCAUUGCUAACUGUCCUCAAAACAGGAAAGAAAAAUUAAGGAAGGGCUGCAGACUGGACUGAAACCUGACCACUGGGAGAAACGUUCUGAGAGAGAAAAGCUGUUUUUCUCCAAGAGGGACUGGAUGGUUUUACUUUCAAUUAGAGUAACUUUCUCCUCUUAGCUUGGAGAAGGAAGGUGGAGCAGGAGGGAGGAUGGAGCCAGAGAAACAGAAAACAAGAAACCUAAAACACAAAUGGGGUUUCGAAAGAGGAGCAGCAUGUGAGACACACAAAGGGGAUGUGGAGCGCGUUGCAGGCGGGCUGCUACCCUGAGCAGGAGCCAGGUAGCCAGCAGGGGUGUGGGGUGCACGCCUCCCUCACACCACAAGUGUGUUGAGUGCAUGGGGAGGCCACAUCGGGUGGGGAAGGAGAGGAACAGCGCAGCAGGCUACAAACAUGUUUUGGGGCUGGGGAAGUAUGAAUUCCAAGUCUGGCUCCUCUACUUACUUUGUAAAUUGAGCAAAUGCUAUUGGAAUUUCUAAACUUUAAGUUCUUCCACAUUUACAUGUUAAAAAUUAACUGCCCCAUGGAACAAUUCUAAGUAAUGUAUUCAUGUAUUAUAUUAGACAUCAUAGUAAGUAAUAUUGAAAGCAAAGGGAGAUUAUUACAUCCCCAGAACAUUCAAAGUGCUUCAUCCACCAGCUCUAUUUCAUACAACAAUUACACAAGGACCUAAGCUGAAGAGCAGAAUAUGCAGUCCUUACCACCGCACCUAAUGUGGAAGAGGAACUCCGUAAACAAGAAUAGUUACUGCUUAAAAUAUCACCUGUUUAUUUUACACUGUGGGGAAAUAAAGUUUCUUAAAUAGUGAUCUGAUUGCUCGAACUGUCUGGAAAAAGAAUGUAGCUGCCAAAAAAAUAUUUGUAUAGAAAGAAAAUAGCUUAAUUAACAAAUCAAAUAAUUAUAUUCUCACUAAAACUCAUAUUGAACUGCAGUAUGUUUUGACACAAAUUUGUCUAGAUUUUUUCAGAGAGAGAGAGAGACAGACACAGAGAGAAAGAGAUUCAAUUGCUCUUCAAAAUAGUAAGAUCACUGAACAACAGAAUUUUCUUCUCUUAGAUUUAUAAUUUGCCCUCUAAGUUAAGGAAGGACAAUAUGUUUUUAAUCUUGAUCUCAAUAAAAUGUAGAACCAUUAAGUGUGAACAGUGUAUUGAGCAAAUAGUUGCCUAGAUAUAUAAAAUUAGGAUGUAAAAAUAAAUCUUUUAUAGUUAAAAAAAUUUUUUGUUGUUGUUUUUUUGUUUUGGUACUGGGGAUCAAACUUGGGACCUUGUGCUUGUGAGGCAAGGCAGCAGCAACACUGAGCUAAGUUUCCAGCCCUUUAUAAAAAUUUUUAACAACAAAAACUAGGCAAAAUUCUUGAAAUUGUUCACAGAGCUUCUUUUUGUUGUUGUUUUUAUAUGAUGCACUAAAAAACUUAAACAAAGCCGUGGAUUUUUAAUUGUAUUUACUUCACUUUCUAAUUUUAUGUCUUCAUAGUUGUUCAGAAAUUUUCUGAAGUACAAAAUUAUCCCAAAUUCUGAUACCUUCAUAAGUCUUAUGCCUGCUUGUCAUGUGUCUUCCUUUCAUAUUCAGUUUCAGGUAUUUUACUCCAAGGUUUACUUGUGAGUUCUAGAAAUCAUCCAGAAAUCUUAGGGUUGUGUUUGGCCCUUCAGCUCCAUUUGGAAGCACUGUCCUCUGCCUGGUGAAAAUAUUUGUCAUGCUG
ensembl:lncRNA